UUAACUAAGCCACCCAGGCGACCUUAGGAAGAUGGAUUUUAAUAAAAAACACUGACAUGGCAGGCCCUGUGUGCCCAGUUCUGCUGUUCACAUGUCACACAGAUCACAUGAUUGAAUCGUGAGACACAGAGAGAUUAAGUAAUUUGCCUACGGUCACCCAGCCCACAAAGAGGUGGAGCCAAGACGUAACCCUGAAGGGUCUGGCUCCCGGGCAGGACGUUACCCCACGCUCACUGCUCCUUAAAUACAUAUUCUCAACUUGCGGAAACCGGGUCUGGGCAUGGGCAUCGGGCAGUGGCUUCUAUUACCCCAUCGAGAGCAGCGACAGCCUGGCAGCCUGGGAAAAUGCAAUGUCUUUACCAACUCUGUUCUUCUCUUAGACUCCUGCUGUCCACCAGAGGAGGGAGAGCAGGGGACAUGAACCGUGGAGAGAAGACAGCCAGGCUUGUGGAGGACGGUUCCCCCCUGUCAGAGGUCUCGCUCUCUACUGGCUUUGCCCCAGGAAGGCCGCCAGGGAUAGGCAAGGGCAGACUGGGCCCUCCAGGGACCAAAGAUGGAACAAGAAGCGAGGUGGGGGCCAGUGGGGGAGGCCAAGGGGCUGGGGCCCCUUGGCCGGCUGGGAGCUGCAGGACAGCGGGGCCAGCAUGAGGUCAGGGCUCCCAGAGCAGCAAGGACCCUGUGGGAUCACUGGCUGCCCGAGGGACGGGGGGCAGGAGAUGUCUGCCCAGAACGGCCAGCCCUCCCUGACUUCACGAGAAUCAGAACACUGGCUCCUAAUACAAAAAUCUCUAACUUAAAAAAAGCUUUGGUGACACUUCAAUUAAAAGCCUGCUUAAAAGGU